rnacentral:lncRNA from 1 species
CUUUAAUGAGUGUCUACAGCAUGUCCAGACCUUCUGGGAAGAAAUGCAAAACAAUUCAUGAUUAAUGUAAAUUUACAUUGUGAAAGUCUCUCUUUACUAAAGAAUUCUGGAAGAAAAGAAUAGUGAUGGGGAAGGAGAAAUAAAGGAAUUUGGGGUUUCUAACCCUGUCCCUAAUCCUCCAACCCUAACCUUAACUACUGCACCCGACUCUAACCCUCUAACAUAGCCAACUCUGCUUCAAAUCUAACUAUAAUGGGGCAGGUAGGUGGUGUAGGGGAUAGAGCACCGGCCCUGGAUUCUGAAGGACCUGAGCUCAAAUCCAGCCUCAGACACAUAACACUCACUAACUGUGUGACCCUGGGCAAGUCACCCAUUGCCUAACCAAAAAAAAAAAAUCUAUAACCCUAAAUUCAUGUCUCCAACUCUGACUCUAACCCUAAAUGCCUGACUCUAAGCCUAACCUUGAGUGCUUCUGGCUCUAAAACCCUAAAUGUGCAACUCUGACUCUCUUCAACUCCCAAUCUAUCCCUGACCGUACCCCUAACUCUGCCUUUAACUCUGACCCUAACCCUAACCCUUGAACUGUCACCCUAAUUUUGUGACUCAGACUCUUAACCCUAAUUUCAUACCCCCAACUCCAAUCCAAACACCAAAUUCACAUUACAUAAAAAUUGCUUUAUCUAGACUCUGCAGAAUGGUCCACUUAGUAAAGUUAAAUCUGUGUAUGUAGACCACUAUUAUAUAUAGAAUAUACAUAAAUAGAAUAAGUACAAAUAAAUGGGGAAAUAAAUUCAAAGGAAUGGCAGUGGGGAGACAAAUGGAGGAAAAACUUUGGGCAUUUACACUUUCUUCCCGUUCCCAUGAUCAGGGGCUGAGAAGACCACGUGAGGUAAGGGAAGAGCGGAGGGGGCGGGGCUCCAAGUCAGGAAGGGCAGGGAGGGCGGGGCAGGCAGGGAGGCCGGACCGCAUUCCAGGCCCAGAAGACACGGAAGACACCGAAGCCUCCAGACUACGAUUCCCAGAAGGCCUUGCUCUUCCCCCCCGGAAGCAUUUUCCAAAGCGAGGACGAAACUCCCCUCGGAUGUCAUUUUCACCCCGCCCUGUCUUCGCCUUUUCCUUACUUUGUGGUGGUAAUUUUCUUCCAUUCUGUCCUGAGCCGACCUGCGGCCGGCUCUCCCUUCUGUGGCCUCUGCUCUGCCCCAGGAGGACAGCCUGGAGGAAGAGGGAAUGGCUCCUGCCCCGAAAGCCAGGCCCGGGAAGGUGAGUGCCACUUGCUGCUUUCCUCAAAUAGCAUCUUAGGCCAGAGACCGUGGGAUAGGUGUCUUUGUCCUGUGCUGUAACACUAGGAAUCGUGGGCAUCAGAGAAUCAUAUAUUUAGAGCUAAAAGAUACCAUAGAUUAUAAUCUAUCCAAAACCACCUACCCUAAAAUUUAUAUUCAUUUUUAAAUUUUGGAAUACCGAUUCUAUCCAUUCCUCCAGCUCUUUCCCCACCCAUUGACAAGGAAAGCAACAGGAUACCCAUUAUGUAUGUGAAGACAGGCAAAACAUUUCUAUACUAGCCACGUUGCAAAAAGAAUUAAAAAGGCGUCCGAAUUUUUAAAAUUUUUAAGAAGUUUAAAAAAAUCCUUUAUCUGCCUUUAGAGUUCAUCAGCUCUUCAUUGUUCAUCUUGAAUCCUUUGGAAUUUUCAUGCAUCAUUGUGUUGUACAAAGUAGGCAAGUCUUUCACGGUUGAUCAUUGUUACAAUAUUGGCAUUACUGGCCACAGAGUUCUGAUUCUGCUCAUUUCACUUUGCCUCAGUUUAUCAAAAUAUUCUCAAGUGUUUCUGAACCUACCUCUCACAGUUGUCAUUUCUUGAUAUACAAUAGUAUUCCCUCACAAUCAUAUCCAACACCUUGUUCAGCCAUUCCCCAACUGAUGGGCAUCUGUGGUGGGUGAAAAAUGAAAUGACGAGGAAAUAAUGGUUUGACCUUCUGAGCAUACUGAUUCAUUAAGCAGUACAUGUCAGUUUUUUUAAGAAACCAGGACCAGACCUCCUCACUUUAGGCCUGGACCCCAAAUGCAGGGAGAGAUAGACUUUUAAAAACAAUUAAUCAAAUAACUGACAAAUAAGGUCAGUUAAUUAAAGGGAAAAUUACACCAUGAGGUAAUCUGAUUUCUAAUUGGUUGAAAGAUUAGGAACUUUCCAAGUUGGGAAGGGGAGAUGAACAGGUGCCAUGGCCUGAAAUCAGAAAAAGAGAUGCCCCAUUUCCCCCAGGUGUUUGUAAACAAUUAAAGGAACAUGGAAACAAUAACUGAUUGAUCAGUAGGGGGCCAGUUUUCAAAUAAGACAUGAAUUGCUUGAGAAGUAAAACUGAGAAUCUCUUUGGAUCGGACUGGGAUUCUGAUCAGCAUCAUGUCAGCCUCUUAAGGCUCUAAAUAGCAGGGAGAGGGUGUCCAGAUUCCCAGCCAGGAAGAGCUUGGGUCAAACAAGGAGAUAAGAUUUUGAAUUGCCACUGAUGAAUGAAGUUUUCUCACAAGACAGCAAUUGGAAUAGAGAAACCAAAAACUGGAUGAAAAUUAAGCUAGCUCCAGAAUUCAGACACCGGAUGAAGUCAGUGUGGUACACUCAAUUCCCACAAUUAACCAUUUGCUGUCCUAAUCCCCUGAAUUCCCUCAAAUUUCACUCACUAUUUCAGAAAGGGGUCAGUUCCUGGAAUUACCCAAAGUCCUAGGAGUUCUCCCCUGCAGUCUUAAAAUGAUUCCCUCACUUCUGCUCAAUUUCUAAUUCUUUGCCACCACAAAUAAAGCUGCUCUAAAUGUUUUUGUGCA